UACGUAGGGGGCUAGCGUUGUCCGGAAUCAUUGGGCGUAAAGAGCGUGUAGGCGGUCCGGUAAGUCCGCUGUGAAAGUCGGGGGCUCAACCCUCGAAUGCCGGUGGAUACUGUCGGGCUAGAGUGCGGAAGAGGAGUGUGGAAUUCCUGGUGUAGCGGUGAAAUGCGCAGAUAUCAGGAGGAACACCAGUGGCGAAGGCGGCGAUCUGGGAAGAUACUGACGCUGAGGUGCGAAAGCGUGGGGAGCAAACAGG
rnacentral:rRNA from 1 species